rnacentral:rRNA from 1 species
UACGUAGGGUGCGAGCGUUAAUCGGAAUUAUUGGGCGUAAAGGGCUCGUAGGCGGUUUGUCGCGUCGGGAGUGAAAUCAUCUGGCUUAACUGGGUGCUUGCUUUCGAUACGGGCAGACUAGAGGUAUGCAGGGGAGAACGGAAUUCCUGGUGUAGCGGUGAAAUGCGCAGAUAUCAGGAGGAACACCGGUGGCGAAGGCGGUUCUCUGGGCAUGAUCUGACGCUGAGGAGCGAAAGUGUGGGGAGCGAACAGG